rnacentral:rRNA from 1 species
GACGAACGCUGGCGGCGUGCUUAACACAUGCAAGUCGAACGCUGAAGCUUGGUGCUUGCACUGGGUGGAUGAGUGGCGAACGGGUGAGUAAUACGUGAGUAACCUGCCCUUUACUCUGGGAUAAGCCUGGGAAACUGGGUCUAAUACUGGAUACGACAUGCCACUGCAUGGUGGUGUGUGGAAAGGGUUUUACUGGUUUUGGAUGGGCUCACGGCCUAUCAGCUUGUUGGUGGGGUAAUGGCCUACCAAGGCGACGACGGGUAGCCGGCCUGAGAGGGUGAACGGCCACACUGGGACUGAGACACGGCCCAGCCUCCUACGGGAGGCAGCAGUGGGGAAUAUUGCACAAUGGGCGGAAGCCUGAUGCAGCGACGCCGCGUGAGGGAUGACGGCCUUCGGGUUGUAAACAUCAUUCAGCACGGAAGAAGCGAGAGUGACGGUACGUGCAGAAGAAGCGCCGGCUAACUACGUG